GCCGAGGUGGCGGAACCGGUAGACGCGCUACGUUCAGGGCGUAGUAUCCGUACGGAUGUGCGAGUUCGAAUCUCGCCCUCGGCACCA
rnacentral:tRNA from 1 species